GCCCUCUUCCCCUGAGUCAGGGCUGGAGGCCAAGAUCAGUCCUUGAGGAUCAGCGUUGGUGCCACAAGCCGGCAGGCUUGUUUUCCGGCCUCAGGCACCU
ensembl:scaRNA